rnacentral:rRNA from 1 species
GAUGAACGCUAGCGGCAGGCUUAAUACAUGCAAGUCGUGGGGCAGCAUGGUGUAGCAAUACACUGAUGGCGACCGGCAAACGGGUGCGGAACACGUACGCAACCUUCCUUCAAGUGGGGAAUAGCCCGGGGAAACCCGGAUUAAUACCCCGUAAUACUACGAAGUGGCAUCACUUUGUACUUAUAGCUCCGGCGCUUGAAGAUGGGCGUGCGCCUGAUUAGGUAGUUGGCGGGGUAACGGCCCACCAAGCCUACGAUCAGUAACUGGUGUGAGAGCA